rnacentral:tRNA from 1 species
AUAAGUAAUGGCAGAAAAAUCGCCCUAGGCUUAGGUCCUACUAUGGAGACCCAAUCUCCUUCUUAUA